UACGGAGGGUGCAAGCGUUGUCCGGAUUUAUUGGGUUUAAAGGGUGCGUAGGUGGUUUAGUAAGUCUGGUUUGAAAGCUGGUCGCUUAACGAUCAGAUGUGGCUGGAAACUGGUAAACUUGAAUGCGUUGGCGGUAGCCGGAACGGGUCAUGUAGCGGUGAAAUGCAUAGAUAUGACCCAGAACACCGAUUGCGAAGGCAGGCUACUACGACGUGAUUGACACUGAGGCACGAGAGCAUGGGUAGCAAACAGG
rnacentral:rRNA from 1 species